CCUACGGGAGGCAGCAGUGAGGAAUAUUGGUCAAUGGGCGGGAGCCUGAACCAGCCAAGUCGCGUGAGGGAUGACGGCCCUAUGGGUUGUAAACCUCUUUUGCCGGGGAGCAAAGUGCCGCACGUGUGCGGUUUGGAGCGUACCCGGAGAAAAAGCAUCGGCAAACUCCGGUCCAGCAGCCGCGGUAAUACGGGGGAUGCGAGCGUUAUCCGGGUUUAUUGGGGUUAAGGGGUGCGUAGGCGGACGGUUAAGUCAGCGGUAAAAUUGCGGGGCUCAACCUCGUCGAGCCGUUGAAACUGGGGGCCUUGAGUGGGAGAGAAGUACGCGGAAUGCGUGGUGUAGCGGUGAAAUGCAUAGAUAUCACGCAGAACCCCGAUUGCGAAGGCAGCGUACCGGCGCCCAACUGACGCUGAAGCACGAAGGCGUGGGGAUCGAACAGGAUUAGAUACCCUGGUAGUC
rnacentral:rRNA from 1 species